rnacentral:lncRNA from 1 species
GGACGUGGAAGCUCCUGCACACGAUGGCGGCGUACUACCCCGACGACCCCAGCGCGCUGCAUCGCGUCCAGGCGAGGCGAUUCUUCGACGCGCUCGGGUUGCUGUACCCGUGCGACCACUGCGCCGCGGACUUCCGCGAGGACAUGGGGAAGACGCCGCCGAGGGUGGAGAGCCGCGAGGCGCUCUCCACGUGGCUGUGCGAGCGGCACAACGAGGUGAACGAGAAGCUCGGGAAGAAGCCGUUCAAGUGCACGAUGCGCGCGCUGGACGAGCGAUGGUUAAAGGGAGACUCGUCUUGCUGGCACGGCUGAUGAGAACUUACCGCAGAACUCACGCGCGGCUCCUUCGAUCCCAUGCACCUAACUAAUAAGAUAGCAAAGUCUCUACCUCCGACAUCACUCCGCCGCUUCGGUCGCGGCCUCGCCCUCCUCGCCCUCGCCCGCGCCGGUUGACGUUCCAUCUUCCUCCGCGGCGGGACUCGCGGCGACGUCCAACACGACGGCGACGUCGCCGCAUCUUCCGUGCUCGCCGUACCCGCCCUCCGUGACGUCCCUCACGCGCAGGGUGUACAAACCCGCGGCGACCUCGCGGUGGACGACGACGUGACGCAAGUCCACGACGCCUUUCUUCGUGCGGACGUCGCCGCCGUAGAUCUUCGCUUCCUCGCCGUAGACCCACUCGGCGGCGGCGGUUUCUUCCGCCGCCGCCUCGAACGACUGCGUGGGUGAAGCGAUCGGUCAGUCGAACGUCUUACCGGUCAAACGUUGAAAGGGAAGCGCGGGUGAAGAGUGACGACGGGAAAAGUCCUUAAGGAACGGCGUGCACCACGCGAACGGGGUCGUAUGGGAAGCAGUCUCACCUCCGCCGCCGCCUCCGCCGCCGCCUCCGCCGCGGCUUCGCCGUCGCCUUCGCCUUCGCCUUCCUCGCCCUCCGCGGGCGGUUCCGGCUCCGGGAGCGACCGCAGGCCCGCGUGGAGGGUGCAUCGGAAUAGACGUCCGGUCUCGUGCGUCGCGAUCUCGCCGCCGCCGUCCUCGGGAGGCUGCACCUCCUCCUCCUUCGCCUCUUCCUCCUUAUUCUCCUCCUUCGCCUCUUCCUCCUCCUCGCGCGCCUCCGCGCCCGGCGCGUCGUCCGCCUUCGCCUUCUCCUCCCUCGGCUUCGGCUUCCAAGGCACCCGCGCUUGAAUCACCGCGCUGCCUUCCGGGAUCGCGCUCCCCGCGACGCACGCGACGGGCGCGUCCUUCGUGCCGACCUCCUUCGCCUCUUCUUCUUCGCCGCCCGCCGCCGCCGCCGCCGCCGCCCGCGCCACCGUCGGCAACGCCACCGGAACGCCGCGCGCCCACUCCCCGACGUAGCUCACCUUACUCUCCGCGUCGUACGCCUCGCCGUGGCCGUGCCGCGACCCCUCGCUCCACUCGCCGUCGUACGUACUGCGUUCGUCGGCGUCGGCGUCGCCGAAGGGCGUCGACGACGUCCCUCUUCCGUGCCGCGCGCCGUCCACGACGUCGCCCUCGUACCGCUCCCCCGUCGCCUUGAUCGUCUCCACCCCGCGCCCGUUCGGGCGGUUCCGCGCGAAGUCGCCCUCGUACGUGUCGCCGUUCGCGCGCGUGAGCGCGCCCUUCCCGACGCGGACGUUGCGCGCGACGUCGCCUUCGAACCACUCGCCCGACGGCGACCAGUGCGUGCCGUACCCGUGCAUCUCGCCCUCGACCCACGCGCCGUCGUACCACCUCCCGUCCGCCCACGUCUUCUUCCCGAUCCCCGUCAUCUCGUCCCGUGUGAACUCGCCGUCGUACGAGCCGCCGUCAGAGAAGGUGAGGAUCCCGCGGCCGUGCUUCGCGCCGUCGACGAAGCCGCCCUCGUAGCGUAAGAAAUACCCAUUUGGGUAAUCGAAGACGCCGUGGCCGUGGUGCACGCCCUUCGCGGUCGCGUCGCCGUCGUAUCGCGACGUGAGCUCGCUACCGCGGACGGUGGAGCCGAACCGUCCGGUAGAGGACGUGUCGAACGUCGUCGCGCCCGCUCGCGACAUCGCGGCGACGCGUCCCAAAUACUGAUGCAAUUUUCGACGACGACGACGCGACGCGACGAAUUAAUGAACUCGCGGUCUCUACUCGAGCUGCCGCGCAGACCGCCAUCACUUCGCUCGCGCGCGCUCGAGGCCGACCGCGCGACGCCGCGCGCGGAGAUCGAGCUCACGAGCACCCGUCGUCGUCAUGGUCAAGCGCGGACGCGACGACGAUGGCGCCGUCGCCCCCGCUCCCGCGGUCGAGCCCGCGCGACAGCGUCACUACCUCGCGAUCCGCAGGGCGCUCAACGAUCAGUUCGUCGCGGACCUGACGCGGAAGCUGACGCAGAAUCCCACGCGAAGGUUCGACAAAGAGGUCGCGGACUACGAGAAGUUCUCCAGGCAGCUCCGGGUGCGUCUCGAGCCGCGAGAAUCGUCUUCGACGCCCCGCCCGCGGCGCGACGCCGAACUCGAGAUUUCGAUCCCCCGAUUUCGUUUGUUUUUUUCUCUUCUCUGAGAUCCGUUCCCCCGUCCUCCCCAUCCCCACGACAGAACGAAUACGCGGACGUCGCCGCGGCGAUCGAACGAGACGCCGCGGCGACGUUCGCCGCCGCGGGCGCGAUCGCGAAGCACGGCGAGUCCUUCCUCUGGGGCACCGGCGACGCCGGGCAGCUCGGAUUCGGCGAAGACGUCAUGGAGCUGUCCCGACCGAAACUCCUCAACACGCUGCCGUCAGCGACGUCCGUGCUGAAAGUCGUCUGCGGCGGCAUGCACACGCUGUGGAUCGUCGACGGUGGUCUGGUGUACUCCGCGGGCGUCAACGACGAGGGCGCGCUCGGGAGGAAGGCGAACAAGGAUGACGCGGACGCGGAGACGAAGCCCGGGCCCGUGCGACUCCCCGGCGGCGCCGCGGCGGUGGAUCUCUCCACCGGGGACUCGCACGUCGCCGUCGUCACCUCCGACGGCGCCGUCGUCGCGUGGGGCACGUUCCGGACGUCGAGCGGCCUGUGGGCGUUCACCCCGGAUCAGCAGAUCGCGCGGAGUCCGAUCACGGUGUACUCGCCGGAGACGCGGGCCGGGCGGAUCGCGAGCGUCGCGAGCGGGACGGAUCACGUCAUCGCGAGAACCGCCGGCGGCGACAUCUACUCCUGGGGCUGCGGCGAGAAAGGACGGCUCGGGCGCCUGCCCCCCGCGGACGCGGACAACACGAGCAAACGUGACGCGUCCGCGAAGACGAAGCUGCUGACGGCGUGUAAGGUGCCGAACCUCCCCGAGGGCGGCGUCACCGCGAUCGCGGCGGGGAGCUACCACUCGUUGGCGUUCGUCGCGGGCGCGAAGGAGGUGUACGCGUGGGGUUUGAACUCGUACGGGCAGCUCGGUCUCCCGUACGACAUGAACGAGGCGGGUUCGAACCAGGUGGAGUACUUCCCGAAGCGCGUGGCGCCGCUGUGCGGAAGAGGGUUCGUCGCCGGCGACGGCGGGGAGAAUCACACGGUGCUUUUGGACGACGGCGGGAAGGUGUACGCGCUCGGUCGAAGCGCGUACGGCCGACUCGGGCUCCCCGGGAUCGACGAGAUGAGCGACGAGCCGCGCUCGAGCGCGGAGCACGUCGUCGGGGUCUCGAAGAAGGCGACGAAGGUUGUCGCGGGAGGGAGCACGUCCGCGUGCGUGACGGACGACGGCGACGCGUACGUGUGGGGGUACGGCGAUUUGGGGCAACUCGGCCGCGGGUCGGAUCAGUCGGACGCGUUGACGCCGGUGAGGCUGGCGCCGACGAAGGCGAUGGGCGGUAAGCGCGUCGUGGACGUCUCGUUCGGGGGGCAGCACACCGCGGCGUUGUGUUUGCCUCCGAAGGGGAGCGAGGGGACGCCGAUCGCGAAGCGCACGCGCGGCGCGGGCGCCGCGUGAGAGGUCGGAAGCGAGAGAAGACGAGAUGAGCGACGGCGCGCGCGUGCGGCGAGGCACGACGACGGACUAUCAUGAGCUUAAGGGUACGAACGAAUGCACUCGCUACGAAUUAAGAUUAUCAUAAUAAAUCGUUUAUGGACGCUAACCUCGCUGCGUGAUUAAUGCGGCGCCGCGCCGCGGCCUUCCGCGACGAUGAGCCACACGUUCGAUAUCGAUAUGAACGCGCCGAGGAGGAGGAGGCCGACGCCCGCCGCGACUUCGAAGAGCGCCUCGCGCGUGAGCGUCGGAACGCCGCCGCCGCCGCCGCCGGUCUCUUCGUCGACGUCGUCGCCGAGCGCGGCGCCGCCGCCCGGUAACAACGCCGCGCGCAUCUCCUCGUGCGACGACGCCGUGAACGACGACAACGCGCCGUUCGCGCCCUUCGUCCGGAGCCUCCUCGGCGCGCUCCCGCCUCUCUCCUCGCCUCCCUCGCCGCCGCCGCGACGCCGCGCUCCCGCUCGCCGCCGCGCGACGACGACGCUCCACGCCGGUCGCGCGCACAACAACCCCGGAACGACGAAGAUCACCAGCACCGCCGCGGUGCUCCCGACCACCGUGAACACCGCGCCGAGGUCCGACACGAGCGACGCGACGACGCCCGUGGCGAAGACGAACGCUAUCGUCUGCGAGACGUGCCUUCCGAGCGGCGCCAUCCCCGCCGCGCGCUUCGUCCACCCGAACAUCGCGCACAGGGUGUCGUCGAGCGCGGCGCGGUGCGAGAAGUGGUUCAUCGCGUACGACCCGAUCGCGUUUACUCCCAUGAAGAGCUUACAUGUGAUGAUCCACGUGUUUUUUUCGUCGUAGCUCUCGAGCAUGUUCGACUCGACGUCGGGGUGCGCGUAAUGCGCGGCGGUUCGAUUUGGGUUUCGAUUUCGAUUUCGACGCCGCGAUGACGACGUCGCCGUCGGCGUCCGCUCCGAAAACGUUCGCGCCCCCCGCGCCCGCGCCCGCGCCCGCGCCGCGUCGUCCACUCGGCGACGAUACCAGCGACCCUAUCGACGACGACGGCGACAGGCUCGACCGCGGCGUCGCGAACCCGGGGAACGCGUCGUCCGCGUCCAUCGGCGCGAGCGGCGGGCGGGCGUCGUCGUCGCCGUUUUCGUUUUCGUUUUCGUUUUCGUUUUCGCCGCCGUCGUCGUCGUCGUCGCGCGGAUCGUCGCGGAACUCCGCGAACACGCUCAACACCUGCACGUGCACCUGGAACGCGAACACGAACACGGGCAGCGCUCGGACGACCCCGGCGCCGAGCUUCCACGCGACGACGACGUCGCCGCCGCCUUCGCCCUCAUCGCCGCCGCGGAUGAGUUUCUCGCCCGCGUCCACGACGACAACCGUCGCCGUAAACGCCAACGCGACGACCGCGAGCGCGCUCGCGGGCGCUAAGCUCUUCGUCCGCCGGAGCAGCGACAGCGGCAGCAGCGCGAAGACGCUCGCGAACGUCACGACGCCGACCCUCCCCGUGGGUUGUGCGAACGGCGGGAGAGGGAGACGACGACGAAGCAUACGCGAGAGCCCCGGGAAUCCGUUCGUCGCGGCGUCCACGGCGUCGACGACGAUGACGACGUACGCCACGCACGACCCGAACGCGAAGAGCAUCAGCGCGACGCCGACGACGUGCGCGAACUCGGGCCCGAACGCGCGGAGGACGAGGGCUUGGUACGAGUCCGCGUUUGAACGCUCGCCGUGCUUCACGAUGACGUCGACGGUGAAGAUCGUGAGCGAUGCGGCGACGAGGACGAGGACCGCGCCGAGCGCCGCGCCGCACUCGCGGACGCCGUCGGGGAUGGAGAGGAUGCCAGCGCCGACCGCGCAGUUGCACAGGUUGACGAUCGUGGUGGGGAAGCUCGCGGAGCGGGUCGAAGGCGUCGCGGCGGCGGCGGCGGCGAUCUCGCCGUCGUCGUCGUCGUCGUCCUCCUCCUCAUCUCGACGCGUCGUCAUCUGCGCGCUCGUCUCGUCUUGAGCUCCUCGCUAGAACCCCGGGGGCAGGCGCCCUUCGCGCGCGAGCUUGAGACGCUUUCGCUCUUGCGUCGCCGUGAAGACGGCGAGGAACGUGGCGACGGAGCAGAACCCGAGCGCGGCGACCGCGACCCGAUCGCUAAGCGCCAUCCGCCGGCAUGCACGGGUCGGGGGCGCGGUGGAGCCCUCACCGCGUGCGCACGGGAAAAUGAACGCGCUGAGCGCGCGCGCGUCGACGAGACGAAAAUCGAUCGACCAGACGAAUCGAGCUCGCGAUGGCUGAUGACAUCUGAAUUGCCUCCAAUUCAGUAGCCUCCGCACCGCUCGACGCGUCGCAGCGCGCGCGAUGAUGGAACUCGAACCCCUCCCCGCGCAGUCCGGGGUGAACGGCCUCGACUACGCCUGGUCGCACUCCCUCCGCGAGGAGGUCGAGACGCACGGGUCGUACUGGGACCACCACGACAAGCGUCGCGAAAUUUCCGACGCAUUGUCGCGAAACGCGGAAGCGUCCACGGAGCCUCCGAGGGAGGAGAAGUGGGCGAAGCGGCUGCGUUUGCGGCUCGAAAAGCUGAACGGCGAUCCGGACGACGCGGACGACGCGACGACGCCGAAGAUUUCGCUGGAGGACGUCGCGCGCGAGGCGAUCGACGGCGAGCCCAUCCCGCGCUCGCGUCGCGUGAAGAUCACGUCCCCGAGAAGCGCCAUCGCGUGCCUCGUCACGGGAACGAAUCCAGACGACCUCGUCCCGCGCGUCCCGACGCCGUCGACGGGAACGUACCCGGAGAGCGCGUACGAGGACCAGGCGUUACUACGCGCGGAGAAACGCAAGAGGCACGCGAACGCGACGCGGCUCACGGCGCUGCUGGACAAGCGCGACGCGAUGACGCGAGAGGAUGUCGUUCGGUACCUGGCCGAGUUGGCGGACGCGAGGCGAGCGGCGGAGGCGGCGGAGGCGGAGGAGGCGCGGAAGCGAGAGGCGGAGAUGGAGGAGGCGCGCAGGCUCGCGGAGGAGGCCGCGGAGAGGGAGAGGAACAAGAGGUUGCCGAUCGUGGAGGCGGCGUACCCGACCCCGGCGCCGGAGCCGGAGGAGGAAGAGGAGCAUGAUUACGAUCACUACGACCGCGACGACGACGCGGGGGGGCGACCCGGCGACGAUUUCGAAGACGACGACGACUCCGACGCGGCGUCCGAAUUUGACGCGUACGCGGAGGACUACGAACGCGCGCUGAAAGCGAAGCGCGAGGCGUACGCGGCGAACCACGCGGAGGAGCGGAAGAGGACCGCGAGGCGGCUCGCGGAGCUGACGAGGAAGGAGCUGUAUCCGCCCGACGGCGACGGCGGCGGCGAGAACCAAUUUCCAAACCGCGGCGGCGGCGGCGGCGGCGACGACGCCGGCGCGAACGGGACGACGCGCGCGAACUCGUUCCGAGGCCCGAAGCGCCUGAUCGUGGACACGAAGAUCGGCGCGCGCGUCAACCUGGGCGGGUCCGCGGCGUUCGCCGCGCCGACGGUGCGCUUUAAUCCGCCGCCGGGCGCGAAGAAGAGAGGAAGAGUAAAAAGAAAAGGAAAGAAGAAGAGCGACCCCCUCGACGCGCCGAUGUCCACGAUGGAGAAGCUCAAGAUCCUCGAGCGGCUCGUGGACGAGAAGAACGCCGCGGAGGCUAAGAAGCAGCGCAGAGAGAAUCGCGCGCGGAUGGACCGCGCGGGCGAGCUCGCGGAGGAGAAGUCGCGGCUGGACGACGCGGCGCGCGCGAGAAAGGUGCGUUCUAUCUCACACUGGUCCCCAUACGACCGCGUCGGCGUGGUGAACGCCGAUCCUUAAGGACUUUUAUCGGCGCGUCUCUCCGCCCAGGGUCCCUCGCUUUCAAUCUCCGCCCUCGGCGCCUAUCAACUCCGCUUCUGACGCCUUUCAACUCCACCCCGACGUUCACUUGAAAGGCGGAAGAGGCGGCGCUCCUCGCGGAAGCCGAGCGCGUCUCCGCGGCGAAAGCGCGCGCGAGGCGAGAGCAGGACGCGCGGCUCGAGGCUGCGGAGCGCAAGAGGGAGCAGACGCAGAUGGAGACGACGCGGAAGUUUGCGCGGGUGAACACGCACACGGGCGGGUUUUCGGAGCCGCGGACGCCGCGGCUCGGCGAGCUCGGCGCGACGCCGAAAAUUUCCGGCGCCGCGACGCGGCGGCGGCCGUCGAGCGCCGCGCCGUCGAUCUCGCUCUCGCUCUCGUCGCCGCGCGCCUCCCCCGGAGGAGGAGGCGCGUCUUUGUUGGCGACGCAGGACAGCGUGCGGUCGUCCCUCGGCGCUUCCCCGAGCUUCGUCGCGGAGGCGCCGCGCACGCCGCGCGGCGCCAGCGGCGCGUUCCCGUCGCCGCCCGACGCUCCCGGCGGCGGCAGCGUCGCGAGCAGCCCGCGACUCUCCCCCGGGAGCUUCGGGACGUCGUCGCGGUUCCCCGUCGCCGCCGCCGCCGCGAUGCGUCGACCCGCGAGCGCGCAGCCGCGCGCGACGAAACCCGGCGCGUCGUCGGUGGCGGAGGAAAAAGCAGACGCGCUCGCGUUGGAACGCGCCGCCGAAGCCGCGUUCGAAGCCGCCGCGAUUCAGCUCCGGGAGGUCAAGAUCGCGAAAGCGAGAGACGCGCGCGCGGCGAUGGAGCUCGAGAAGCAGGAGCGGCGCCUCGCGGAGAGCGCGGAGCGCGCGGCGGUGUUACGCCGUCGAAAAGACGCCAAGACCAAACGCGACGCCGAGGCGCUCGCCGCCGCCGUCGCCGAGUCCGAGCUCAAAAACGCGGCGGUGAAGCUCCGACGCGAGGAAAUCGCCGCGGAGCGCGCGGCCGCGAUCAAACGCCGCGCGCUGAAAGCGGAGCAGCUCCAGGAGGCGGCGACGUUGAACCGCGCGCGCGACACCGCGACGCGCGCGGAGUGGCGGUCGUCGCUCGCGGAUCUCCGCGCGGACAAGUUUGAACGCGCGACGAACGCGUACGAAACGCGUUUAGACGACGCCUCCGCCGCGAUUCGCGACAAGCACGCGGAGGAGGCGCACAAGAUCAUCGGCCACAAACGCGAGAUGAGCGCGAAGGAGCUCGACUUCGCGAAGCGGAUCACGGAGCAGGCGCGGCGCGAGCGCGUCAAGGUGGAGGCGAGCGUCCGCGAGCUCAAGGCGACGGCGCGGCGGCUGCGCGUGCCCCCGGACGCGUUGCACGCGCCGGGGUCUCCCGAGGUGCGUUCCAUCGCGGCCGCGACGCGAGGGAACCUUCCGAGGUCGCCGCGGGAGCACGAUAAGAGCGACGCGGCGACGAAGCGCGUCGUGAAGGAGCUGGAGGAGAAGAACCAGGCGUUGGAGGAGGCGCUGGAGGAGACGCGGGCGAAGCUGGAGAGCGAGUUUGGCGCCGCGGCGGCGGCGGGGGGAGGGGCGGAGGGGACGCCCGCGGCGGCGCGGCGGAGGCGCGGGGCGCCCAAGCCCGCGGGACCGUACACCGAGUACACCACGCCGUAGACUGUGACGUUGAAUAAUAGUUCAACCCGUACACGGAAUACACCACGCCGCGUCGAGGACGUAAUGCGAUGAUGAUAUCGUAUCUCGCGCGCGCUCGAGAACGAGACGUCGAAAAGCGAAAAAGCGUUGCGAAAAAGUGCGAGUGCUCGGCGGGCCACGUCGGGGUGGAGUUGAAAGGCGUCAGUUAAAGUUGAAAGGCAUCGAGGGCAGGGAUUGAAAGCGAGGGGUGGGCUCAGAGAAACGCCGGGAAUUGUCCUUAAGGAUCGGCGUUCACCACGCGAACGGGGUCGUAUGGGGACCAGUGUAUAGGACGCACCGCGAACCCGCCGCCCCCAGGCGGGCGUAAAAAGCGAUUAGGUUUACGUACCCCGAGAGGGUCACCGCGACCACAGCGCGGCACACGCUCGAACGCGCGGCCGCGAUGUCCGCGUCCACGUCGGCCGCGGCCCUCGCGCCCAUCGGGCGGCGCGCGCGCGCGCGCGGCUCGACGCGCGCGCGUCCGCGCGCGAAUGCGCGCGUCGUCCGCGCCGCCAUCGCGGAUCCGCCUUCUUCGCCAAAUACGCCCGCGCGAUCCGACGCGGAACUCCGCGCGGAGCAAGCGCUCCUCGCGGGCGACGACAGCGACGGCACGAUCGCCGGGUUCACGAAGCUCGAGUGGAGUUGCAUUCAGACCCCGGCGAGGUACCUCGGGAACGAGAUCGGCGCGGUGCACAAGCCGUGGACGGAGGCGGAGGUUCGGUUCGCGAUGGCGUAUCCGGAGAUCUACGAAGUCGGCGCGUCGAAUCUCGGGCACGUCGUGCUGUACACGAUCUUGAACGACCAGCCCGGGAUGCUGUGCGACCGCUCGUACCUCCCCGGUCCGGACAUGGAGGCGCUGCUGAAGGCGAAGAACCGGACGCUGUUCGCGGUCGAGAGCAAGCGGCCGUUGACGCACUUCGACGCGCUCGGCAUGUCCCUCGCGUACGAGCUGUCGUCGGUGAAUCUGCUUCAGGCGCGUUCUAUACACUGGUCCCCAUACGACCCCGUUCGCGUGGUGAACGCCGUUCCUUAAGCACUUUGCCCGGCGUUUCUCUCCGCCCAUCCCUCGCUUUCAAUCCCCGCCCGCGGUGCCUUUCAACGCCAACUGACGCCUUUCAACUCCACCCCGACGUUCGCUUGUAUGGAACGACCCUCAGAUGAUGUCUCUGUCCGGGGUGCCGCUGACGUGGCGGGAACGGGACGAUAAGCCGGACGAGCCGUGGGACGUGGAUGACGGCUCGUGGCCGUUCGUUUUCAUCGGCGGACCGACGGCGACGAGCAACCCGGAGCCCGUCGCGGA